GUACUACCGAUUGAAUGGCUUAGUGAGGUCUUGGGAUUGACUUCGGGGAGCCGGCAACGGCACCCUGUCGCUGAGAACUUGAUCAAACUUGGUCAUUUAGAGGAAGUAAAAGUCGUAACAAGGUUUCCGUAGGUGAACCUGCGGAAGGAUCAUUAUCGAGUUUUGACUGGGUUGUAGCUGGCCUCCCGAGGCAUGUGCACGCCCUGCUCAUCCACUCUACACCUGUGCACUCACUGUGGGCUUCAGAUUGUCGUAAAGCGGGCUCCUUACCGGGCUUGUGAAGCGGUGUCUGUGCCUGCGUUUACUACAAACUAUAUUAAAGUAUCAGAAUGUGUAUUGCGAUGUAACGCAUCUAUAUACAACUUUCAGCAACGGAUCUCUUGGCUCUCGCAUCGAUGAAGAACGCAGCGAAAUGCGAUAAGUAAUGUGAAUUGCAGAAUUCAGUGAAUCAUCGAAUCUUUGAACGCACCUUGCGCUCCUUGGUAUUCCGAGGAGCAUACCUGUUUGAGUGUCAUUAAAUCUUCAACCUGCAAGCUUAUGUGGUUUGUAGGCUUGGACUUGGAGGCUUUGUCGGCCAUGCCCGGUCGGCUCCUCUCAAAUGCAUUAGCUUGGUUCCUUGCGGAUCGGCUCUUGGUGUGAUAAUGUCUACGCCGUGACCGUGAAGCGUUUGGCAAGCUUCUAAUCGUCUUGGUUAGAGACAGCUUUAUGACCUCUGACCUCAAAUCAGGUAGGACUACCCGCUGAACUUAAGCAUAUCAAUAAGCGG
rnacentral:rRNA from 1 species